AAAUACCAUAGACUUACCUAUGCAUUGUGACGUCAUAAGCUUGGCAGCGACGUCAUGUUAGUCCUUCACAAGCCGCGAUGGCUGCUUAUUUUGACACAAUAACACAGACUUUCACAGCGCUUGAGACUUCAUGUAAUAACAGUAUGGUCCUAUGGAUUUCAGUACCAAAACUGAUUUUCUACCGUUUUUCUUCCAAGAAAGUUCUGAACAGCUGAAUCCUGGAUCAGCCUAGAUGUUAUUUCACUGGAUUAUUUAAUGAAUAUUACUCUACUGAGUUACCUGGUUACAUGGAUCAGCUAAGAUGUUGUUUCACUGGAUUAUUUAAUUGGGCAUAUAAUUGGAUAAUUCUGUCCUCAACCUGGAAGAUAUGUUUUGUUCCUAACCAUCUAUAAUCCAUUCUCUAUGAAGUUCAGCCUGUCUGCCCAAAUUCCUUUGGAAAUACAUAGUUAGUCAACCAACAUAGAAACAAUCAAACUUGAAGUCCUCAACCUGGAAGAUAUGUUUUAUUCCUAACCAUCUAUAAUCCAUUCUCUAUGAAGUUCAGCCUGUCUGCCCAAAUUCCUUUGGAAAUACAUACUUAGUCAACCAACAUAGAAACAAUCAAACUUGAAGU